GUGCCCUCCCCCUGCCCAUGCCCCCACUGCAUCCCUGCCAUGCCUUCUCCCAGCCCUGACUGACCUCUGACCCCUGGCCCUGACUGAUGGGUGGCCGGAUCCCCACUCACACACUGCUAUGACCACGGUGAGCCCGGCCUGACAGCCUCCCGAUGGCGGACGUGGAGGCGUGCGCCGCACUCCCGGGCACACUGGAGGCUCCUCAUGAAAUGUGGGCUUUGGGGACAGCAGUGCCAGGACUGCAGGCUGACCCAGAACCGGCGGCAGUGGCCUGGGCCUCUUCUCACCGCCCUUCAAAGGUGGGAUGUCAGGGAACCUUCCGGGACUGAUGUGGCCUGAGGACCGUCCUGGAGCCUCGCUGUGACUCGGUUUCCCCAGAUGGCUGCAGGCUCGAGCCACACGGUGGCGGGGGGGGGCGCCCAGCUCCACAUUUUGUCUUGAACCUGCUUUCACUUGGCACCUCCCUGUGGGCUGAGCCGAGCGGAACUGCCCGUGUUUGUCCCCUGACCUGCAGACCCGGGGAACCAGUGGGACCACCCGGGCCGAGGAGGCGAAUUCUGGGCUCUGCGACCUCUCAGCCUCUGCCUCCAGGUGCCCUGGGGUGCGGCGGGGGCACUGCCGCAUCGAGCUCCCAGGCUGACGGGACACAGACUCACCCGUGACCGCAGUCGGCCCUGCAGGCUGACGGACAGGACUUGACUGAGUGCCUGUCUGAGACAGGGGGCUGGGCCCUUGACCCCUGCAGCCACAGAGCCCCGCAGCCCUCAGCCGGCUCAGGGGGUGAAGACACCCCAGGAAGAGCUCCUGGGUCAGAGCCGCCCGCUGUGUCCACUGUGUGGCCAGGCAGGCGGCCCCUCCCAGACCGUUUCCCUACCUGCUGGGAGUGGGGCAGCACCGGCCUGGGGGGCACGGCCUGAGGGAAGGACAGAGAGUGGCCGAAGCCCCCCACAGUCCCCCGCCCCACCUCGUGGGCCUCUGCACACAUCCCCUUGGGCAGACACAGGGCCGGGGCCAGGACAGCCCCAGGAACGGGUGCCCCCACCUCAGGGCAGCCCCCAACACUCACCUCUCUGGUCCACCAGCCAGAGAGUGGGACCCUCCACCUCACAGACCCCAGGGUCACGGUGUCCAUUAGAGCACCUUGGUUGGGUACCAGAGGUGGGGAGGGCAGGGCCGAGGCCACCCGGGCAGUCGCCAGCCCAGGAGGCGGGACAGUUGUGUGACUAGCGUCCCUGUGACAGGGACGGUUGGGGCUGGGCUGGCGGACGAGCUGGAGGCCACAGAAGACACCUUGGACAUGGGGUGGCCCCUGGGAGGCCCCUGAACCCCAUCCUGAUUUGCGGGGCAGUGACCCUGGCCCAGCCUGGGGCCUCAGGCUCCUCCCUGGAGAUGGUGUGGCCGCCCUGGGCCUUCCCACACAGGGCUGGUGCAGUGGUCACCCUGGAAUGGCUGUGACCCACACCGCAUCGCCUCCCCCAGGACCCAUGCCAGGCAGCAUGAAUAGGGCGGGCCCGGUGAGAAGCCCCUCCUGCUGGGUCCAGCCUCGCCCA
rnacentral:lncRNA from 1 species